AUGGCCCGAGCACGACCUUCCAGCAGCCUCUGGUCACUGGUGAAGACCAUUGGCGCCGGCGUGCUCAGCGUCGACUUCCCCAUACGUUCCACAGGCCUCGCCUUCGCAUGCGGCGGCCCAGUCAUGCUCCCCACCCUCGACUCCAUGCCAGGUGACCUCCUGCUGGUGGACCGCCGUCGCCUCGACUGGUUCCGCGGCGACGUCGUCGCUUUCCGGAGCCUGGUCGGCCACAGCAAAGAGCCUAUUUUCAGUGAAGGAAAGGCAUACCACAGAGGGGUUGUCAGCAGGCUGAUUGCGCUGCCCGGCGACCUUAUCCGGCUGCGGGGGACGACGGAGCUCCUGGAGGUCCCCGAGGGCCAUUGCUGGGUGGAAGGCGACAACCCCAGCCAGAGCAAGGACUCGAGGACGUACAGCCCUGUUCCACUUGAGCUGCUGGAGGGGACGGUCACACACAUAAUUUGGCCGCCUCACAGGAUGGCUGCAGUCCCCGGCAGGGUCCCGGAAGAAAGGGUUAGAUUGAUCAUCGACCCCGCUGGCUCUGCAAAGGAAACGACGGGAAUAGCUCAUUCCUGUGGUAGUGUGGAUCCUCGCUCCAGUAGCACUGGAGGAGGAGGCCCUCCCUUAGGAUCCCGCAAGGAAGGAUUAUGCCGAAGUGAUUGUAAUUUCAUCUGGUUUGUGUGA
rnacentral:rRNA from 1 species